GGGUGCGCCGCCCGAGACGGGCGAGUUCGAAAUGCAAUCCAGGCCACGGAUCUGCAGCGAAGCGCACGCACCGCAGAAGAGGGCCUUGCUACGGAGCACGAGGCUGUAACCGACGUGUGUGUGUGUGUGCGCGUGUGUGCGUGUGCGCGCCCAAAGUGCUGUGCACCAGACACGCUGGUGUUUGUCAUCUGGCCGGCGGUGUGAGAGGCUGGGCGGUCGGUGCUCUCGGACCACAAUACAACCUAGCAGGGCUUCUGGAAUCCGCACCUCCGGGGGCGUCGAGGGAACUUCAUCCACUUCUCCCAUGAGUGCGGCUCGGCGUGGCAGUCCCUCAAGUGUCACUUAGAUGGGUGGCGCUGUGACACUCCGGGGAGGGUGGGGAGCGAGCAGAAGGGAGGCACCCCAGUCUUUCUUUGAGGCCCUCAGGAAGAGGGGUGAAGGGUGCUUCUUGGACCUUGGCGUGAGUCUGGGACAUAAGCUGCCACCCCUUUCAUUUAAGCUAUGGCUUAGUUUCAGUACUGCUGGCUUCAAAGGAAACCCUUUUUUGCAGGUUUUGUUUUGGGGGGUGGGGUUCCGUUAACUUUCACUACAAUAUUCCUCUUAAGUGGAGUCACCGUGUAAAACAAUAGUUUCCCCUCAUGGUGACUAUCAGAGGCGAAACUGUCCGUGGCCUGGUAAGCCACUGGUUAGACUGCGCUUUUCUGGCCCAGGGCAGGCUCUUUCCCCCAUGAGCUCUUGCUUGGGAGCGUCCAGGGUGCCGGGAAGGAGAGCCGUGAGAGGAGAGGGAGUGUGGUGGGAAACUCCCUUCUAGCCACCGAAAACAGGGUUCAAAGCUAUCGGUGUGUCCUUAGAGCUGUUCUCAUGGAUGGAGGAGGGACUGUUGGGUUAAACACCGUGACCCGAUGGGAAUUUAGGUUAUCACGGGUUUCCAAACACUGCACAGCGUUAGGGAAACAGCGAGAGGAAGCGAACCUUGCGUCCCAGUGCAGUUCUGACGCUAGGCCUGUGGACCGACCACAGAGGAGUACCUUUGCAGAGACGCUUGAGAAGUGGCAGGCUCGUAGUGUCAGGGCCUCCAGCUUGAAGUGUCUGGUUUUGUUUUCAUUUCUUCCAUGGGCAAGAAGGAGAGAGACAACAUUCUCAACUUGGGCCCGACGCGAAGACUCACCCCGCGGUCAGCCUGCCCUGGAUCUGGGCCCGCGCUGGCCUGGCCAACCGCCCCUGUGACAGUGCCUUGCAGAGUAGGGCAUCUUACUGCUGAUGCAUGGCUGGCCCUCCAGCCUAACACGCAUGCCCUAACCGAGCUGCGUCCUGAAGCGGCACGGAGCCUGGCCACAGCCACGAUGGUGAGCCAUGCAUUUGUGCGCAUCGGCAUCCUUUAGUGUACUUCGUGCUUAAAAUGAUGCACCUGAGCAUCGUGGUAAUUAUCAAAGCUGGGGACCUGGACCAUGGACAGGCUCCAGUAAAGUGCAUGUCACCCGGCGUCAUGAAAUGCUGCUCACUGGAGAAAGACCCGAAGGACUUUCAGGGGGACAAGAAGGCACCUAAUGUGGAAAAGCCUUCAUUUGCCCAGUGGAAGAAGGUUUUGCGUGAAACUCUAUUUGGACCACUCUGAUUUCUGUAUUUCGGAACAUUGUCCAGACAGCAGCGUGGCUCCCACGUUGGCCGCUCAGGGAAAUGAGCCCUCGACAAAGCCUCCCAGUACUGCUCGCCCUCUGGCCACUCCGACACACCCAGCCCGCGGGAUCAGUCUGCAGGGAAAUUCAAGCCAUAAUUAGACUCACAGGGCGAGGGCACAGUUCUUACAGAAAGUACUAACUGCACAUGUGCACACGGCUGUGGCUGGUCUACAGUUCCAACACACACACGCACACCACACACCACACAUCACACCACACAUCACACACGCACACA